rnacentral:rRNA from 1 species
UACGUAGGGUGCAAGCGUUAAUCGGAAUUACUGGGCGUAAAGCGUGCGCAGGCGGUUAUGUAAGUCAGGUGUGAAAGCCCCGGGCUCAACCUGGGAAUUGCAUUUGAGACUGAAUAGCUAGGGUCGGAAGAGGGAAGCGGAAUUUCCGGUGUAGCGGUGAAAUGCGUAGAUAUCGGAAGGAACACCAGUGGCGAAAGCGGCUUCCUGGU